rnacentral:rRNA from 1 species
UGUGGUUAUUAUAGCAAAGAGGAUACACCUGUUCCCAUCCCGAACACAGAAGUUAAGCUCUUUAGCGCCGAUGGUACUUGGUGGGAAGCCGCCUGGGAGAGUAGGACAUAGCCACGU